AAGGAGCCAUUUCAGGCACAACUCAACAAGCCUGGGAGCUGCCGAUCUGCCCGCCCAAGCGGCUCCGCAGCGGCCGGGGCAGCUCAGGAAUGGCUCCCCUGGGCUUCCCCGGUCCCGCCCCGCCCGGGCCGUGAGUGCCCGGCCCCGCCCCGCAGCCGUGCCCAGGAAGCGGGAGCAGGAAGCUGUGGGGCCGCGGGGAUGGUGGGCAGCGGCCCGGCGGUAUGGAAUGGCAGAACUGGUAGAAGCAGGAUACGAUGUUCGCCAACCAGACAAAGAAAAUGUGACUCUUCUUCAGUGGGCAGCAACAAACAGCAGACAGGAGGAGCUGGUGAAAUAUUACAUUUCCAAAGGUGCGUAGUGGAUCAGCUUGGUGGAGAUUUGAAUUCUGCGCCCCUGCACUGGGCCAUUAGGUAAUGCUGCUUGCAACCACUAGUUGCAAAUCUCUCGGUAUUGACAGCUGUGGUAGCGUUUUCUGAGAUCCGCAGAACAAAGCACUGCUUGGCUGGAGAAAACAUAUGCUGAAAUAAUUCUUCUGGGAAAACUUGUCCGAGUGCAAAUUCUCCCAUUGGAAGAUCAGUGUUUUCUUCUGGAUGGUCAGUCUUUUGCCAGAGUCAGAGACUUGGAUGACUGCUCAGAGGAGAAACUACUGUAGAAUAACCUCUGUAUUCUAAAUGAACACUUUGCCCUAGGCUCAUUCAUUAAGGUAUAUAUUUAAUAUAAUUUGCUGAAAAAGCCAUGAGAAUCUGAGAGAAAACUGGUUUUUGUGUGGUCUCUAUGAGAACUAUAAGGGCAAUGCUUUCAAUAAAAUAUCAGGUUUUUAAAUCAUCUCUAUAGUUUCACUUCACACCUCGUUAUAGACAAGGACACCUUCCCAGGGGACAGCAGCAUCCAAAGGAGCUGUGCAGGGAUGUGCAGAUGCCAAAAGGGACUCUAGGGCAGUUGGACACGCUCCAGCGGGCUCAGCCCCCCGUGCUGGGGCAGGGAAAGAGCAUGAGGGGACCUCCGCUGCAGAGGAAGGAGUGGCAGGGACAGGGGAUGAAGUGAUGGCAGCAAAUGUCAGGAAGGAGGGGACAGAGGGAUAUUGGUGGGGAAAAGGGAGACACAAG
rnacentral:lncRNA from 1 species